rfam:Gossypium hirsutum cultivar TM-1 chromosome 21, whole genome shotgun sequence
AUGUGGUUGUUUUUAUUUGCUCUUUUAAGUAGGCUUGACAUGCCGCGAAUCCUCUUGAAAAAGAGGGGUGCCUUUGGGAACACGAACACAGGCGGUGUAUGGUUGUCGUCAGCUUAUGCCGUAAAGUGUUGAGUUAAGUCCCGCAACGAGCGCAACCCUUAUGUUUAGUUUUCACCAUUGAGUUUGGAACCCUGAUCAGUCUGCCGGUGAUAAGCCGGAGGAAGGUGAGGAUGACGUCAAGUCAUCAUGCCCCUUAUGCCUUGAGCGACACACGU